GGUUCAAUGGUCUAGUUGGUCAUGGCAUCUGCUUCACACGCAGGAGGUCCCCAGUUCGAUCCUGGGUUGAAUCA
rnacentral:tRNA from 1 species